AGCCUGCUUAAUCUCAGCUGGCAAUCUGUGAUGUCAUAAUCAUCACGGGGCAAGAUGGGAUUUUGCUGACU
ncrna:Ciona intestinalis microRNA cin-mir-216 precursor